AAAGGGAGACCUAAUUCAGGUAUAAGACGAAAAAAAAGUAGUCCCUACCAAGAAUCAAUCCCAAAAGGUCGGAACGAGGUAUGAGGCUUUCAAACUAGGUUCUGGGUUCAUAAAAGACCUGAAUCAGGAACAAGGGCUAUUAGCUCAGGUGGUUAGAGCGCACCCCUGAUAAGGGUGAGGUCCCUGGUUCGAGUCCAGGAUGGCCCACCUGCACAGGUGGCAAAAACAAGAGAAGCGAGGAAUCAGCACCUUAUCUUAUAUACAUAUAUAAGAGAGAAUGCUGGCCCUGAGUACAGAGUCCAGAGGAACCUUGAAAACUGCAUAGAGCUAGGUGAAAAAGCCAAAAAAGAAGACCGCAAG
rnacentral:tRNA from 1 species